AAAGAUCUUAGCACAUCCAAGAGUGUGAAGACAUCCCUGGCAAAAAGAGGACUGUAACAAUUUAUCAGCUUGCUUGUCCCUCUGGAGGCGGGAGAAGGAGAGAGGGAAAGGCUGGCGAUCCUGGAAGUCCUCGAGAAGAAUGAGCUAUCGCUGCUAUCAUCAUGAGAUCACACACAUAAAACACUUUCAGGUGAGGAAAGAGAGGCCUAGAGGAGAAGGGACUUGGAGUGAGGACGGACUACAUCCACUGACCAAAGAUCCAACCCGCCACAGAGGGGCGAGUGACUUAGCCAAGGUCACACAGCUGCUGACCACCCCAGGAUCUGAACCCAGGAGUCUCUGGUUCCUUCCACUACACCCCAUCAGCUCUGGGCUUCAGGGCAGGUCCUGGGGACUGUGGUUUCACUGGCUCGAAGACCUUGGAGAAUUGGACAGCUCCCAGGUAAUGGAGGACACCCUCAUCACGCCUCAUUCUGCUAAAUCACCCUGGCCCUGCUGUGUCUCUCGGAGCCGGGCAGCACUGACCAAAGUGACUGUGAAGGUCUAUCAUUGGUUUAGAGGAGCUCCAAAUGCCCGCCAAUUAGUGGUGUUUGGUAAGUAGCAGUCAGACAUACCUGGCUUCGCGAGACAGAAGGAAGGUGAGCCCUGCUCAGAAGUGAAACCUCAGCUCCACAGCACUGUAACAUGCCUGGAAGACGGAUAUACCAUUUUCUUAGCCAUCCCUCACUAGCCAGGAAAGCAGAGGUGGUUUUUCACUUGAUCUAUAGCUCGGAGACACCUUCGGAGAUUUUAGAGAGUGUUAGAAUACUCACUCACUCUGCCCGCCUUCAAGCAUCAAUAACUAUUUUCAUUGAAACAAUUCUUUUUAUUAUGAGGUAUGGCUCUCCUGGAGAGGGGAAGGAAGCUUGAUUGUAAGAUGUAAAUGAUGUAAGAAAAGAUAAUAAAAUACAUUGAA